GGUGUCAAAGCCCUAGGACCAAGGGCCUAAUUAUAAUAAAGAAGGCUUUUUUGUAUGUGGAAUAUCCUCAGUGGUUAUCUCUUCAGGGACCUAGUGGGACAGUAGGUAUAGCCAAGGCAGAUUUUCAGAAUACUAGUCAUCUAUAUUCCUCUGUCCAUACCAUGAUGACUACUAAGCAUCUACUCUGGCACUGUGCUAUGCACAUGAGAAGUACUUAAAAUUUAAAACAUGGUCAGGUGUGGUGGCUCACUCCUGAAAUCCCAGCACCUUGGGAGGCCAAGGCAGGCAGAUACUUGAGGUCAGAAGUUUGAGACCAGCCUGGGCAACACGGUGAAACCCCAUCUCUACUAAAAACACAAAAAAUAGCUGGACAGGGUGGCAGGCACCUGUAAUCCCAGCUACUCAGGAGGAUGAGGUACAAUAAUCACUUGAACCCAGGAGGCAGAGGUUUGCAAGUGAGACUCCAUCUCAAAAAAAAAAAAAAAAAAUUUCCAGUGACAGAGAAAAAUAUUUCCAGUGACAGAGAUUUUGUAAUUCUUUGUAAAUGUGCUUGAUGUUUGUGGUUAAUCGCCUGUAUAAAGAAUAUUUUUAGGCUGGGCACAGUGGCUCAGGCCUGUAAUCCCAGCACUUUGAGAGGUCAAGGCAGGUGGAUUACGUGAGGCCAGGAGUUAAGACCAGCUUAGCCAACAUGGUGAAACCCCAUCUCUACUAAAAAUACAAAAAUUAGCCAGGCGUGGUGGUGGGUGCCUGUAAUCCCAGCUACUUGGAAGGCUGAGGCAUGAGAAUCACUGGAACUUGGGAGGUGGAGGCUGCAGUGAGCCAAGAUUGUGCCAUUGCACUCCAGCCUGGGAGACACAUCAAGACUCUGGUCUCAAAAAAAAAAAUUAUUGUUUUCAAGUUUUCAUUUCUUACUAUUGUGUUCAAUGAAUUACAUCCUCCAAAUGAUGUAUUUAUAACUCCAUAUUCCCUUUUUCAACAAAUAGUUGCGGAGAACACACUUGUUUCCUUAGAAGUGUUAAAAUACAGUUGAUAAAACUACUUAUCUCUAAAAAACAUCUGGAGGGUCCAGGAAAUACUAAGAGAAUAAUUCCUGAUCCUUAGGGAAAAAGCAUUUAUUGAGACUCAUUGUACAAAGAAAUCAAUAUGACACUGAAAUAUAUUAACCAGUACUAGACUAUGAAAAACAAUCUGCUUCAAUGACUUCCAGACCUCCUACUUUGUUUGGGAAUAACUGGUUUUUACUACUUUCUUUAAUUUCAAGAGUCAUCUUACAGCUGGGUACAGUUGUUC
rnacentral:lncRNA from 1 species